rnacentral:ribozyme from 1 species
ACAAAGAAGAAAGAAAUCAGACAACAACGCUCACCAACUCCUUCUCUCCCUCUCUUCUCUCUUUCUUUCUCCUUUUCCUCUCUGUCUCCUUUUUCCCUUUCUC